CUGAUGUGUGCUAACAGGAAACACCAGGGAGCCCUUGAACGCCUACUUUUUGUCAAAGUGACCAAGUGAUCCUGAAAAUGCUGCUGCCAUGGAAGGAAUGCCAGUGAUCCUCAGGGGAGACCUUCGAAUCAUGGGUUCCGCAGACAUAGGAAGAAGCUCACAGACAGCUGUGUCCUGGGAUCUUUCAUGUGUUGUUGGAAUUUUCGGGAAGGUUAGGAAUCACAGCAGAAACACCAAAGGCCAGGUGGAAACCAAGUGUCUGAUGUGCACUAACAGGAAACACCAGGCAGCCCGUGAACUCCUCCAGCAUGGCAAAGUGACCAAGUGAUUAUGAACAUGCUAUUGCCAUGGAAGGAAUGCCAGUGGUCCUCAGGAGAGACCUUCAUAUGAUGGGGUCCCCAGACAUGGGAUGAAGCUCACGGACAGCUGUGUCUUAGGGUCUUUGGUGUGCUGUUGAAUUUU